AUUGAACGCUGGCGGAAUGCUUUACACAUGCAAGUCGAACGGUAGAGGGGGCAACCCCUCGAGAGUGGCGAGCGGGUGAGUAAUAUAUCGGAACGUGCCCAGUCGUGGGGGAUAACGUAGCGAAAGUUACGCUAAUACCGCAUACGAUCUAAGGAUGAAAGCGGGGGACUCGCAAGAGCCUCGCGCGAUUGGAGCGGCCGAUAUCGGAUUAGCUAGUUGGUAGGGUAAAGGCCUACCAAGGCGACGAUCCGUAGCGGGUCUGAGAGGACGACCCGCCACACUGGAACUGAGACACGGUCCAGACUCCUACGGGAGGCAGCAGUGGGGAAUUUUGGACAAUGGGGGCAACCCUGAUCCAGCCAUUCCGCGUGAGUGAAGAAGGCCUUCGGGUUGUAAAGCUCUUUCGGCAGGAACGAAACGGCUCUUUCUAAUACAAGGGGCUAAUGACGGUACCUGAAGAAGAAGCACCGGCUAACUACGUGCCAGCAGCCGCCGUAAAAC
rnacentral:rRNA from 1 species